UACGGGGGGGGGCAAGCGUUGUUCGGAAUUACUGGGCGUAAAGGGCCAGUAGGCGGCCAACUAAGUCCGACGUGAAAUCCCCAGGCUUAACCUGGGAACUGCGUCGGAUACUGGAUGGCUUGAAUUCGGGAGAGGGAUGCAGAAUUCCAGGUGUAGCGGUGAAAUGCGUAGAUAUCUGGAGGAAUACCGGUGGCGAAGGCGGCAUCCUGGACCGACAUUGACGCUGAACGGCGAAAGCUAGGGGAGCGAAACAGGG
rnacentral:rRNA from 1 species